CCUGAUGGAGGGGGAUAACUACUGGAAACGGUAGCUAAUACCGCAUAACGUCGCAAGACCAAAGAGGGGGACCUUCGGGCCUCUGGCCAUCGGAUGUGCCCAGAUGGGAUUAGCUAGUAGGUGGGGUAACGGCUCACCUAGGCGACGAUCCCUAGCUGGUCUGAGAGGAUGACCAGCCACACUGGAACUGAGACACGGUCCAGACUCCUACGGGAGGCAGCAGUGGGGAAUAUUGCACAAUGGGCGCAAGCCUGAUGCAGCCAUGCCGCGUGUAUGAAGAAGGCCUUCGGGUUGUAAAGUACUUUCAGCGGGGAGGAAGGGAGUAAAGUUAAUACCUUUGCUCAUUGACGUUACCCGCAGAAGAAGCACCGGCUAACUCCGUGCCAGCAGCCGCGGUAAUACGGAGGGUGCAAGCGUUAAUCGGAAUUACUGGGCGUAAAGCGCACGCAGGCGGUUUGUUAAGUCAGAUGUGAAAUCCCCGGGCUCAACCUGGGAACUGCAUCUGAUACUGGCAAGCUUGAGUCUCGUAGAGGGGGGUAGAAUUCCAGGUGUAGCGGUGAAAUGCGUAGAGAUCUGGAGGAAUACCGGUGGCGAAGGCGGCCCCCUGGACGAAGACUG
rnacentral:rRNA from 1 species